UACGUAGGGGGCAAGCGUUGUCCGGAAUCAUUGGGCGUAAAGAGCGUGUAGGCGGCUUGGUAAGUCCGCUGUGAAAGUCCAGGGCUCAACCCUGGAAUGCCGGUGGAAACUGCCAAGCUAGAGUCCGGAAGAGGCGAGUGGAAUUCCUGGUGUAGCGGUGGAAUGCGCAGAUAUCAGGAGGAACACCAAUAGCGAAGGCAGCUCGCUGGGACGGUACUGACGCUAAGGCGCGAAAGCGUGGGGAGCGAACAGG
rnacentral:rRNA from 1 species